AUUGAACGCUGGCGGCAUGCUUUACACAUGCAAGUCGAACGGUAACAGGCCGCAAGGUGCUGACGAGUGGCGAACGGGUGAGUAAUGCAUCGGAACGUGCCCAGUCGUGGGGGAUAACGCAGCGAAAGCUGCGCUAAUACCGCAUACGAUCUAUGGAUGAAAGCGGGGGACCGUAAGGCCUCGCGCGAUUGGAGCGGCCGAUGUCAGAUUAGGUAGGUGGUGGGGUAAAGACUCACCAAGCCGACGAUCUGUAGCUGGUCUGAGAGGACGGCCAGCCACACUGGGCCUGCGACACGGACCCGACUCCUACGGGAGGAAGCAGUGGGGAAUUUUGGACAAUGGGCGAAAGGCUGAGCCAGCAAUGCCGCGUGCAGGAAGAAGGCCUUCUGGUUGUAAACUGCUUUUGUACGGAACGAAAAGGCUCUGGUUAAUACCCGGGGCUCAUGACGGUACCGUAAGAAUAAGCACCGGCUAACUACGUGCCAGCAGCCGCCGUAACAC
rnacentral:rRNA from 1 species